rnacentral:tRNA from 4 species
GCCCGAGUGGUGAAAUUGGUAGACACAAGGGACUUAAAAUCCCUCGCUGGUAACAGCGUGCCGGUUCGACCCCGGCCUCGGGCACCA